AUUCCUGGAGACGAGCUGGGCACGUGGAGAGGCUGGUGGACCGCGCGACCUCGCUCUCGCCAGCCCCAUGUUCGAGGAGCCGGAGUGGGCCGAGGAGGCCCCAGUAGUCGCGGACCUCGGGUCUGUAGCCUUACGGCCUCAGACCACGGCCGACUCGCAAAUCAAGGUGAGUGGACCCGCAGGGGCACUCGGAACGGACCCCGCUGGAUCCCAGAGCUGGGGCGCGCCGCAUGUGUAUUAGGGGGAGGCGGGAGCCUGCGGCCGCCCGAAAAUCCCGGAAUUUCCAAAAGAAAGUGACGUUGGAACUGAGAGAGACUUGGCCCCAUCCAUUCUCUUCGCCCCUGCUCUCAUCCCUUGUUUUCCCCCAGGGCUCCAAGCGCCGCCAGCUCUUGGCCACAUUACGGGCCCUGGAGGCAGCAUCUCUUCCCCAGCAGCCCCCCAGUCUGCCUGGCAGUGACGAGGAGGACGAGGAGGAGGUGGUGGAAAGAAAGAAGAAACGCCCAAAAAAGGUCUUGUUUGCCAGCGCUUCUCCUGAAGUAGAGAAGAAAAGGAAGAAGAAACGUCAAAAACAGGGCCCACCUAGCAGUGACGCCAAGGAAGAGGAAGUGGAAAGGAAGAAGUUCCACAAAGGGGCUCUUCUUGGAAAUGACUUUGCUGAAGAAGAGAAGAGAAAGAGGAAAUGCCAGAAACAGGACCCUUCAAAUCCUGCCCAGCCCCUGGACAAUGUUGACCAAACUGGUUCCAAAGCUUGGAAUUCUAGUGCUGCAAAUGACUUCACCAAGCCAAGCCGUGAGACCCCUUGCUCUAAUCCUCCGCAUACCUUGAGUCGCAAGCAGUGGCGGAACCGGCAGAAGAACAAGCGUAGACAGAAGAACAAGUUUCGGCUUCCUCAGCCACCAGAGCAGGCCUCAGUCACAGCCGCCGCAGAGGAGACAGAGGUGCCUCCUGCCCCCAGUCCAGACAGCCAUGGAGCCCGGGCGGAGGCUCUGCGAGCCCGCAUGGCCCAGCGGCUGGAUGGUGCCCGGUUCCGCUACCUCAAUGAACAGCUGUACUCAGGGCCCAGCAGUGCUGCACAGCGCCUCUUCCAGGAAGACCCUGAGGCCUUUCUCCUCUACCACCGUGGCUUCCAGAGCCAAGUUAAGAAGUGGCCACUGCAGCCAGUGGACCGCAUUGCCAGGGAUCUUCACCGGCGGCCUGCGUCCCUCGUGGUGGCUGACUUUGGCUGUGGGGACUGCCGCCUGGCUUCAAGUAUCCGGAACCCUGUGCACUGCUUCGACUUGGCCUCUCUGGACCCCCGGGUCACUGUGUGUGACAUGGCCCAGGUGCCUCUGGAGGAUGAAUCUGUAGAUGUGGCUGUGUUCUGCCUUUCACUGAUGGGAACCAACAUCAGAGACUUCCUAGAGGAGGCAAAUCGAGUGCUGAAGCCAGGGGGUCUCCUGAAAGUGGCUGAGGUCAGCAGCCGCUUUGAAGAUGUUCGGACCUUUCUGGGGGCUGUCACCAAACUGGGCUUCAAGGUCAUCUCCAAGGACCUGACCAACAGCCACUUCUUCUUGUUUGACUUUGAAAAGACUGGGCCUCCUCGGGUCGGGCCCAAGGCUCAACUCUCAGGCCUGAAGCUCCAGCCUUGUCUCUACAAGCGCAGGUGACCUCUGGACCCCCCUUGAAAGGGAAGGCAAGUCUUGAACUCCAGGCUCAGUACUCUGAAGACUGUAUCCAGCCAGGCUGUGACCCGGGGCCUGGUACCACCCUUACUCCAUCCCAAGAACAAAAUGUAAUGAAACCCCUGGCUCAGCCCUGCUCUAAUGAAGGCUUCUUGGUUCCAGGAAGCAUAAAGUCAUUUGGGCUAGCUAAAGAAUAAGGAGUUUAUUGUGAGAAUGCAGGAGUAUCUGGGAAUUAUGGAUCCCCUCAGUGUCAUGGAAACGACAUGGUUUGGAAUUCAAGGCAUCUCUGGGUUUGGCUCCUCUUUCCAUCUCUCAGGAGCCACAUGGGCUUUCUGUCCUAGCAUCUCCACUCUCCUCUAUUCUGCUUUUCCUGUUUGAGCACCAGCUCCUGCUUACCCAUAGCUUCUGCAGCUUUGGUCUGCCCAGGCCUUGAAGGCCUGGGGCAGGCAUUGCUUCUUGGCUCUGGGGCAGCUGGUAGCCCGCCAACAUCCUGGCUGAGCACAUCAGUCUGGGCUUCUAGGUCAGGAUGGUUUGAUUGUCCCUGUACUGAGUUCUUCUUGCCCCUGAUCCUCAUCUCCAUCUUGGGAGCUGUAUGGCCCAAACUACUCCUAGUAUCUAUUGUCCCAUAGGGCCCUGGUGUGUGUCUGGCUGAGGGCACAGAUUUUGGAAUCAGGUAGGCCUGCCACUGAUUGCUGAGAGUCUUUUAAUCUUUGAAUGUCAUAUUACUCAUUUGGAAAAUGGUAGGAUUCUUGUCUCAUGGGAUUGUUGUGUGGUGUGGGUUAAUGAGGAAAUCUGUAGCUAGGGCUGGGUGCACAGGAGGUGCACAAUAAACUGUAGCUGUGGCUGAUGUGUGUUGUAAGCGUUACUGUUUUCUAAAGACCUUCUCCAGGCAGGGUUAGGGGUUGAAGAGUAAAGAAUGGAUUUGUUGACUGAGGAAGACUGGGAGAGCUCAAGAUAGGCCUUUCAACAGGCUUAUUUUAUAGGAUUUUUAGAGAUUCUUGACAGAUUGUGAGCUGUUCUUGGAGGGGGGGUGGUGCAGGAGCUGGGUCUCUUCAUAAAUCACAACUGAUUGAUGCUAUUUGGGGUGGAGAUUGGUCUGUUCAUUGGCAGAAGGGUCUGUCUGUUGUUUCUGCCUUGUAGUGGGCCCAAAUCAGCAUGUCCUAGGAAAGCUAUGGACAGGGAAGGCUAGUGCUGGGAGAAGAUGAACUGAGAUGAUAGGUCCUUGGCCUCUUCCAGAAGGCAUCUGCCAUGGGCCCAGGUAUAAAGAUAGAGCCUGUUCUACCUAUUUCAAAGAACAAGAACUGAGAGUGACCACUGGGACACAGGUUCCGGGGCUCUGAGGCAGUUGGGUGCCUCCAGUAAGGUGGGUGUUUUGAGGCAGGCUGUGUAGGCCAGAGGGCAUGUUUGGAGGCUGGGCUAUGAACCAUCCAGCAGAUACUGCUCAGUACCUUUGCAUGUGCUUCUCUCUGCUGAAUACUCAUCUGAUUGGCAGAGUCUUACUCAUCCUUCCAAACAGCCUAGUUGUUUCCUACUCCGUUACUCCCAAAGCAGAACUAACCUCUUCAUCCGCACUCUCAAAGUGCUACGUGAAGAGUGCAAUUUCAGCACUUAAAUACUGUGUGGCAAUUGCUUUGUGCAUUAGGCUGCAGUCUUCUCAACUCAUAUUUAUCUUUGUAUUCCCGAGCUGGUCACUUGAGAUCCAUCUAAGGAGGUGAUAAGGAUGACAGGGUCCAGUUGAGUGGGACCGAUGAGAAGCAGGGGUGUUGCAGGAACCCAGGUUCGGGCACAUGAUGAGGGCACAGUGGACUAGUGACGGUGGAAUAGGCGGAGGCGGUUGGGAGAGCUUCAGUGAGUAGAACCGGUGGGACAUUGCGGCUUGGUGAGAGAAAGGAAUCUGAAGCAAGUCUUGGGUUUCUGGCUUGAGCAACUGGUUGGGCUGGUGAUGCCAUUCAAGGUUGGGUUUUUGGUACCUAGAUGUUCAUUUGGAAGUGGGACAGAAACUCAGCAGCCAGAGGAGGUAAUUCAAGUCAUAGGAAUAGAUAAGAUAUCCAAAGUAAGAUAAUGAGAAGAGAAAAUGGCUUGGAAUAGAAUUCUCAGGAGCACUUAAUGGAUGAGUAAAGGAAAAUGAACCAAUAAAGGGGACAAGAAGAGAAGGUGGGGCCAGAGAUGGAGGAGUAAAACCAGGAGAAUGGAUUUCUUAAUGUGGAAGGAGUGGGGAGGUUUCUGGCUGUCAGAUGCUGUUGAAAGGUCUAUUAAGAUGAGAGAGAGGUCAGAUCGCAGCAGGGAGAGGAUUGCUGCAUAAUGUUGAGGGCCUGGGGUUUGAAUUUAUAGUGGUAUUAUUCAUGAAUUUAUAGUGAGCCCAAUCAGCCCAAUGCUGUGGUUAUCUCUACCUACUCAGGAAUCUAGGUGUAGCUGUGGAAAAAGUGAGUACUGAGGGAUCAUCCAGAGUUGGAAACUUGCCAUGCAAUUGAAAUAAACGAGCAAAGGAAUUUCAGACCGUUCGUAAGUAAGUGAUUGCUAUGCUGGACCAUGGAAUUUGGUAGAACAGGUGAGUGGAGUAAAGACAGGAGUAGGUUGUUGCAUUGGGGGUAACUGAACAAGUAACCUGGAAGGAUGGGAGACUGUGGUCAGAAACUGGAAUGCCUGAAUAAUUCAUAUUGGAAGCAGAGCAGCUCCAGGCAAUGGCCAAGUUUAGAGUGUAGUUAUAGGGGUGAGUGCCUGAGAGGUGUGCAAGGGAGGUUGCCAGGAGAUUGGUUAAUGCAUGGAGGCCUCAGGUAUUGAGAGAGGUUCUGCGUGGACUUUGAAAUUCUCCAGUAUGAUGGUAGACAUAAGCAUGGAACAGGUGCCAACCUCUUGAAGAAGGGGGCAGAUCCAGGAGAUCUGCAAAGAGUAGGAGAGGCGGGAUAGCAUGAAUUUCAAAGGGACAGAGGGUUCACACAGCCUACUAGAGAGACUUCCAUCUUGGAUCUUGGGGGUGAUGUGAGGCUGGUGAGUGGAGCUGGCUGCCAGGCAGCCAAGACAAAAUACCCUGACAGUCCUCUCCAGCUUGUCGGGAUUCACUGGGGAUUGUUGGAGAGACAACUGUUGUGGCAGCUCCAUGGGGCAGGAAUCACCUGGGAUAACAGGGAGGCAAGCCAUAAAGUCUAAGGGAUGUUUUGGAGUAACAGGGCAUCUGUCUCACUGUAGGACACACAUCACCUUUUUAUAGUUCCACAUCUCUGUUUCCCAAGUGUUAUUUAUAUUCCUAGAUCUUGAUUAAUUUUCCCUGCUUUAUUAUUAUGCUCAGCAGGACAGCUGGGGUCUGCCUUCCUCCCUCUUUUGCUUUCCUCCCUUACUUAAAAUUUGGAUUCUUUCUUUGCCUGUUCUGGCUCCAGCCACCUAUAUAAACAUCUUUCUGGGUCUGACUCAGGCCCCCGGCUCCCCCUAACUCAGCCAAGCCUCUUAUCUGCAUUUCUAUCAAUUCUGAAAGCAGGACUUUCCUGCGUCUGGGUCCUCCCUGCUCCAUCAUCAGCUUCAGGACAAGCUGUUCUUCAAGUCCAUGCCUGGGCUUCAGUGUCUAAUGUUGAGAGCCUAGACUGAAGAGAGAACAAUAUAUAUUUCUUUUAAGAAAUAAAAGCAUGCCAGCUGUUUAAGGAACAAUGAGAUCAGUUUAAGGAACAAUUGGAGAACAGAAUGAAGGAGUGCAGUCAUAGUAAGAGGUAAACAGGAGUGGGUAAGAGUGUAAUUGGAGAUUCCACUGGGAGCAUUUGGGAAGCUUGAGGUAUUUAUUCCUAAAGCCAAGAAAUGGUGAACCUGGAAUCUGACUCCUGCCCUGGAAAUGCGGAGGGCAAACAGAGAUUCAUUAACUGUUUCAGGGGUGGAGCCAGGGGAGUGCUGCUGCUUUUGCAUUGGCCUGUGUUCCCAGAAUUUGCUGUGGUAAGCCAUGCAUGAGUGUAUCCUUUGCACCUUGCAGGAGAGGGAAGCGUCAGCUGGUCUUGAGUCCUGUCCGGUAGGACCAUUUGAAGAGGCAAGGAGACCUCAGCACAAAGAAGCUAGGAGUGUGCCAUGUGGGCUGAGAAGGGAGGCUCAGGAGACCACCCAGAGUAAAGCUGCCUCCACCAAGUUUCCCUCUAUGGCAUCCCUUUGGCAAAACCUAAUGGAACCACCUGCCAGUGGAUUCUGGGAAAUACACUUUGCAGAAUCACAGCUGCAACAACACAACUCCAGAGUGUGUGUACGUGGGGGCUGAGAGGGAGGUGUGUUGCAGAGGGAGAUAUGGAGAGUGUAGGAGCCAAAAGAAAACAGGUAAAUAGCCAGUAUAUUCCAUGUAGCUGCUCAUACAUCUAGAUUGUUGCUUCUGUCAGCUGUGAAGUACUUCAUAAUAUGCAUCCACCAUAGUAAACUUAUAUAUUGGCCUGGCUGCCUCAAAUUCUUUGCCAUCUGGAGAAAUUAAAAUCCUUGCAGCUAGGGUUCUGAGUACAAAAUAAGUGCCCCUGACUAGAUGCACUCAUUUGAGAUUUGGGAGGUAAGGGUCAUCUUCCUGCCGCUUGGCUGUGAUUGCUGGAGGCAGGUGUAGGCGCUGGGUUUCUACAGCAGCGUCCCGCUGAAGCCAGGGACAAAAUAGGGUGCCUGCUGUAGGGGCGAAAGUUCAGCGUAUUCUGGAAGUUCAGUAGGUAAAAUAAAUCUGCUCUGUACAAAUUUGGCUUUAAUAAGAUGGUUAAGAAGAAAAAUUAUUGGAAGGGUGUCAAUAAGUUACUCAGAGAACUAAUGGAAAGUCCAAGGAGUGAGGCUUAGAGAACAGACAGGAGCCAAGGGAGGAUGAACAGCUGCAAAAUCUAAGGUCAACUUUAGUCAGUCUGGUUAGGAUGGCACUGCUGUCACCAUUGCUACUUGACUUUUCUCUCACUGUUGUUGGUACAUAGAUUGAUGCUGAGAAUUGAGUUAAUCCUCCUCUAUGUUCAUGGCGCUAUAUUAGGACUGGCUCAGAAAGGCCUCUCUCCUGUUCUUUGUUAUUUUGUUUGUUUACUUUAUUCCUGAUUCAUACUUCUGCCCCUCUUGUACCCCACAAUGUGUUUGUCGUGUGCCCCUGGACACCUGUGUUUCUUUGGCAAAAUAGAUGGUGGUUUUGGUAUAUGCAUGCUGUGGCAGAGACUUGCCUAGCUGUUCCUCACACCGAUUUUCUUCCUCUUGGGAAAUUAGCUGUACUCUUUCCCGGCUUCCCUUAUUCUUAAGUGUGGCCAUGUGAUUGAAUCUAGCCAAUUGGAUGGUAGUGGAACUAAGGUGCGCUACUUCUGUGACUUGGGUCCUUAAAUUUUCCUAUGCACAGUCCCCCAUGUUAUUUCCACUUUGGCCUUUGAGCAUAUGACCUUGAAAGCUACACAUUGAAGAUGAUGGAGCCAAAAGGUGGAAGGAGCCUGAACAUCACCUAGAGGAGAGCCACCCACCAAUUAGGAACAUCUGUUUUAGAUUUCACAUGAGUGAAAAAUAAAUCUCUAUCUUUUUGAGCCAUUA